rnacentral:lncRNA from 7 species
GCGGCCAUGGGCGAGCACAGGGAGCCAGGUCGAGGACGCAGCCGGGCGAGACCUCGGCAGGGAGCUGGGAUAGAACCGCGGUGCGAGCAGGGAACCAGCCACGGCGAGCAGAGGGGCACGGCUGCGCGCGCCAUGGGAGGAGUGCCGGCGAGCAGUAAACAAAGCAGGGCGCGGCGGCCUAGGGCUACGACGAGGAAGGAGCAGAGGUCGGGGGCGAGCUCGGAGGGAGCCAUGGCGUGCUUGGCCAUGGAAACGCGCUAGGCGCGAGCGAGUAGAGGGGGGCGCGGGAGCUGGGAGGAGGGACCUGGGCGCGGCGCAGGAGAGAGAUGGAGGGAGAGAGAGAGAAGCAAGGGGCGCGCCAUGGGGAAGGAGCGAGCAGGACACGGC